UCAUUUUAUUUUAUUAAUAAGAAUAACUUUUUAAUUGUGUAAAGAAAAAAUAGAAAGUCUCUUUCUUUCUCACAGGAAUCAUCGACAGAAAAAAUAAAAUAGAAACUUGCGACUUCUUCUCCUAGGCUCAUCUCUGAUCUCAGACAGAUCCUUCUCCGUCACCACCUUCGAAGGUCACAGACGUCUUCGAUUCCGAACACCCCAACCCCAUCUCUUCUUCCUGUUUGUUGCGAGAGAGAAACCCUAACUCCACACCACCGCCUGCAAUUCCCAAAAACUUAAACACUUGGGAGAACACCAUAGCUGUUAUUUCUCAAAUUUUCAGAUGGUUGAAGAAAAUGUUGGUGCAGACGCUUGGCUUGAGUUGCGGGAAUCUGCUAUUGGAGUGAUUAUGAAGCUGAAGGAAUCAGAAUACACUUGGUCUGCAAAAUAUGUUCACUACUUUCUGACCAGUCGAUUUCCAGUCAAGAGAUUAUCAAACUCCAUAAAAAUUGUUUCAUACGAAGGGAAGGAUAGUUAUAUAGUUCAUGGUUGUGUUCAUGCUCUGGUUGUUGUCUUGCUCUAGGAAGAUGUUUUUUUCAGAUAUUUUUAAAUCAUAUGGCUGUAUCUGUAUGUAUAUUGUCCCACAUAUUAACAUGAGUCUCUAUUAACAUUGGUAAGACU